rnacentral:pre_miRNA from 1 species
GGAAGAUCAAGAUGGGUUACACUUCCGAGUCACAUUUUCACAUAGAAAAGCCACCGAACAGGAACUUGUUAUAUAAUACCAGCUCGCUUUGGAAGUCUUUUUCUCUGCGAAAAUGUGAUUUCGGAACUGUACCUGAGCUUUCUUUCUGGG